rnacentral:lncRNA from 1 species
GUGCGAGGUUCCGGUGGGGACGUGGGGACACGGCCGGGCCAAGGCUCCCGCCAGCCCGCGGCCUUCGCGCCGAUUUCCCCCUGUGAACCUCUCGUCUCCGGAACCUUCCAUGGCGGUUCCUUUCCGACCCGGGCCUGGAAGGAUUCCAACCGCGAGGGCCUCCCCCCACGCCAAGACCCCGGAGGCCCCACCCGGAGGGACGGGCACAUUCCGUGCGUUCCUGCCUCCUGCCCGGUGUUUGUUUGUUGCUUUUAAAUCAGCCGCCCCGGGAGUCCUGUUCCCUCUGGAUUCUGCUGGCCGCCAGCCUCCGGGGACUUUGAGCAAGUCCUGGGAGCCAGGGAACAUUCCAGCGCCGCCCAGGCCGUCCCCCCGGAGACCCUGCACUGUGGGGGGCGUGCGCCUGAGGGUCCGGCCGGCCUGCGAGACCCCACGGGCACCCCGGCCCGUCAGAACGUCUACCUUCCCGCUGAGGAGGAAGGGGAUGGGGAUUUCGGUGGCCUGCAGGAUUCUUCCCCCGUGUGGACGGAGCCUGGAGCACGGGGUUGGGACCCGCCCUGUGGCCGGGCCGGGUGCGCGUCAGACCGCAGGGCGUGUGCUUGUCGGUGGAGAGCUGGGCGCGCAGGAGGGAGAGCCGGAAACCUGGGCAAGUUCGGGCAGCCCCGCGGCCUCCCUGCAGCUGGGGAAACUGAGGCCCAGGGUCAGUCUCCAAGGUCACUCAGCUCGGAGAUGCUGCUUCUCGAAUCGAGAUCUGCCCGACCCCGACCUCCAGCCACCGUCGGGGUCAGACGUGGGCACAACGGGAGCCGGGAGGCCGCCGUCCCCGCCUUCACAGGAUCCCUGGUGAGACGGACGGUCCGGGGGACGCAGAAUUCAGUGAGACCCCCACCCCGGGAGGCCCAGGCUCUCGAAAAGCGGGUGACGUCCACACACGAACCCGCUCACGGACGUUUCCCCGGUUUACUCACAGCUGGUCACACGGGGAGCAGCCGAGAUGCGCUGCGGUGGAGGACGGACAGACGGACUGCGGUCCGUCCAGACCACGGAAUGUCACUCAGCGAGAAAGAGAAACGAGCCUAACGCCACGGGAAGACGCGGAGGAGCCUUCAACGCACGUGAGGAAGCGAAGGGAGCCGGUCGGAGGAGGUUAGACAUGCGCGAUUCCAACCACAGGACCCUCUGGAAACGGAGACACCCGUGGGCCCAGGCGUUGAGGGGGACGAACACCGGGGCCGGUGAGGACGCGGAGAAGGCGAAGCCUGUGCCCGGCUGGUGGGAACGUGCGCUGGGGCGGGCGACGUGGAAAACAGGGUGGGAGAUUCCUCAAAACGUUAAAGAUGGGAAUACCGUACCGUCUGGCAGGCCCGCUUCUGGGUAUUUAUCCAGAGAGACAGAAUUCGGACAGACGCGUGCGCCCCGUGUCCACUGCAGCGCUACUCACGACAGCAAGACGUGCAAACAGCCCAAGUGCCCAUCGAGGGGGAUUCGAGCGGAUAAAGACGUGGUGGUUGUGCACAGCGGAAUACUACGCAGCCAGGAACAAGACCGAAACCCUCCCAUUUCCCGCAACAUGGACCAACCUGCAGGGCGUGAUGCUCAGUGAAAUGAGUCGGACAGAGAAAGACAAAUUCCGCCCCGUCUGCCUUACGUGUGGAAUCUAAGAACUUGAGCUCAUGGGGCCAGAGAGGAGAACGGUGUCACCAGGGCUGCGGACGGGGAGACGGGAGACGUGGUCGCAGGCACGACCUUCCGGUUAUAAGAAAACAGUUCUGCGGCCUGAUGCACAGGCUCGAGGCCUGUACCUGGUGCUUGAAACGUGCCGGGAGCAGAUCUUCCGUGUUCUCCCCCCGAGAAACAGGUCCCGCGUGGGGCUCGGGUGCGUGUGCACCGGCUUCGUCGUGGGGGCCACGUCACAACGUUUACACACGCUGAACCAUCACGUUCCACCUCACAUACAGACGGCGUUAUCUGUCAGUCACAGCUCGAUAAAGCUGGGGAAAAGUGUGGAAAAAUAAGAGUGUUUGCUCCCAGAGAGAAGGAUGGUGGGAACGAGUUGGAGCAGACACGUCUUUACACCCUCUGUGCGUGAAAAUGAAUUUGUGCCCAAAAUUAGUAAAGGCGUGUUUUUAAAUUAUGCAGAAAAAAU